rnacentral:misc_RNA from 1 species
CACAAUAUAUAAAUCUGCCCCACAGGCUGCAGGCUGGAUUAUUUUAUUACCCUUGUCUUUUGCGCACCUUGUUGUUUCCUGGGCGGGUUCGCCCGCCAUCCAGGACCACAUAUAAACCUUUUUUAUGCAGUUGCAAUCAGCGUCAGUACAACAAAUGUAAAUCAUUUA